AUACGGAGGGUGCAAGCGUUAAUCGGAAUUACUGGGCGUAAAGCGCGCGUAGGCGGAUAUUUAAGUCUCAUGUGAAAGCCCUGGGCUCAACCUGGGAACUGCAUGGGAUACUGGGUAUCUAGAAUACAGUAGAGGGUAGUGGAACUUCAGGUGUAGCGGUGAAAUGCGUAGAGAUCUGAAGGAACAUCAGUGGCGAAGGCGACUACCUGGACUGAUAUUGACGCUGAGGUGCGAAAGCGUGGGGAGCAAACGGGAUUAGAAACCCUAGUAGUCC
rnacentral:rRNA from 1 species